UUACACAGUUAGCCAUUUUGUGUUGGUU
rnacentral:sRNA from 1 species